AUGAACGCUGGCGGCGUGCCUAAUACAUGCAAGUCGAGCGAACGGACGAGAAGCUUGCUUCUCUGAUGUUAGCGGCGGACGGGUGAGUAACACGUGGAUAACCUACCUAUAAGACUGGGAUAACUUCGGGAAACCGGAGCUAAUACCGGAUGAUAUUUUGAACCGCAUGGUUCAAAAGUGAAAGACGGUCUUGCUGUCACUUAUAGAUGGAUCCGCGCUGCAUUAGCUAGUUGGUAAGGUAACGGCUUACCAAGGCAACGAUGCAUAGCCGACCUGAGAGGGUGAUCGGCCACACUGGAACUGAGACACGGUCCAGACUCCUACGGGAGGCAGCAGUAGGGAAUCUUCUGCAAUGGGCGAAAGCCUGACGGAGCAACGCCGCGUGAGUGAUGAAGGUCUUCGGAUCGUAAAACUCUGUUAUUAGGGAAGAACAUAUGUGUAAGUAACUGUGCACAUCUUGACGGUACCUAAUCAGAAAGCCACGGCUAACUACGUG
rnacentral:rRNA from 1 species